AACGAACGCUGGCGGCAGGCUUAACACAUGCAAGUCGAGCGCCCCGCAAGGGGAGCGGCAGACGGGUGAGUAACGCGUGGGAAUCUACCGAGCCCUGCGGAAUAGCUCCGGGAAACUGGAAUUAAUACCGCAUACGCCCUACGGGGGAAAGGUUUAUCGGGGUUUGAUGAGCCCGCGUUGGAUUAGCUAGUUGGUGGGGUAAUGGCCUACCAAGGCGACGAUCCAUAGCUGGUCUGAGAGGAUGAUCAGCCACAUUGGGACUGAGACACGGCCCAAACUCCUACGGGAGGCAGCAGUGGGGAAUAUUGGACAAUGGGGGCAACCUUGAUCCAGCCAUGCCGCGUGAGUGAUGAAGGCCUUAGGGUUGUAAAGCUCUUUCACCGGUGAAGAUAAUGACGGUAACCGGAGAAGAAGCCCCGGCUAACUUCGUGCCAGCAGCCGCCGUAAUAC
rnacentral:rRNA from 1 species